rnacentral:rRNA from 1 species
GAUGAACGCUGGCGGCGUGCCUAAUACAUGCAAGCCGAGCGAAUGGAUUAAGAGCUUGCUCUUAUGAAGUUAGCGGCGGACGGGCGAGUAACACGUGGGUAACCUGCCCAUAAGACUGGGAUAACUCCGGGAAACCGGGGCUAAUACCGGAUAAUAUUUUGAACUGCAUGGUUCAACAUUGAAAGGCGGCUUCGGCUGUCACUUAUGGAUGGACCCGCGUCGCCUUAGCUAGUUGGUGAGGUAACGGCUCACCAAGGCAACGAUGCGUAGCCGAUCGUAGAGGGUGGUGGGCCAUACUGGGAAUGAGACACGGCCCAGAAUCAUAAGGGAGGAAGAAGGUGGGAAUAUUCAACAAGGGACGAAAGUCUGACGGCGCAACGCCGCGUGAGUGAUAAAGGCUUUCGGGUCGAAAAACUCUGUUGUUAUGGAAGAACGAGUGCUAGUUGAAUCAGCUGGCACCUUGACGGUACCUAUCAAGAAAGCAACGGCUAACUACGUGCCAGCAGCUGCCGUAA